rnacentral:rRNA from 1 species
GACAGAGGGUGCAAACGUUGCUCGGAAUCACUGGGCGUAAAGGGCGUGUAGGCGGGAAGGAAAGUCGGGCGUGAAAUCCCUGGGCUCAACCCAGGAACUGCACUCGAAACUUCUUUUCUUUGAGUGCCGGAGAGGAAAAGCGGAAUACCUGGUGUAGAGGUGAAAUUCGUAGAUAUCUGGAGGAACACCGGGUGGCGAAAGGCGGCAUCCUGGACCGAC